AAUGAACGCUGGCGGCGUGCUUUACACAUGCAAGUUGAGCGAGGCCACCCGCAAGGGUGAGUCGAGCGGCGAACGGGUGAGUAACGCGUGGAUAACCUGCCCUGAGGUGGGAAUAACCCGGGGAAACUCGGGCUAAUACCGCAUGAUACCAAGCGGUCAAAAGGGGCGUCGCAAGAGCUCCUGCCACAGGAGGGGUCCGGCGUUCGAUUAGCUAGUUGGUAGGGUAAUGGCC
rnacentral:rRNA from 1 species